GAGAUUCCCGCUGAUGAGUCUAGGAAGAAUCACACAAGCUCCUGGACAUCCUUCAUGUCAUGAUACCAGGUUGUCUUGCAAUGCACACCGAUGAGAGGCUGACGUGCCACUCUGGCAACAGCAUUGGCACAUUGUUUCCGGAUGCUGUUCCAUCUGUCUGUGUCUGUCUGUUCUCUCGUCUUAUAUUUAGAUUGUAAACUCUUUGGGGGCAUGGGCUGUCUUUUUCUUCUCUGCUGGUACAGCUGUCACACUCCCCAGGGAUCUCCAGUGUUGUGAGGCACCCUCUGCACCACCUGCCCUUAGUGCAAGGAAGUCCUGUGUGUGCCUGCUGUCAAUCAUCCCCCUGAAACCCCCAGCCUCUGGUGACCCAAGCACUGUCCUCCAGGCCCCCCGGGCCUUCCCGGCAUGUGGCAAGAUUUCUCAUUUGCUGAAGGAUGACCAGGAGAAAGGAACGGGCUGUGGUUAUGUUUCAGAAACCUCUUGCAAGCAAACGUGCUGCAUCGCAGAUUCCACCUCUGAGUCCGCUUACAGCUUUUAGCCAGUCAUGUGGAAAAACCUGGGACCAUUUUUAUAAUUUCACUGCUGUCAUGUUAUUCUGGAACCAUGUUCCAUCUUAAUUAGGAGAAAAAUCGGUUUCAGAUUUGCAUGCAGCAAAAGAAAAGAAAAGAAAAGAAAAGAA